rnacentral:rRNA from 1 species
UGCAGUCGAGGGCAGCASGUCUGUACCWGUACAGUUGCUGGCGACCGGCAAACGGGUGCGGAACACGUACAGAACCUUCCUUCCAGCGGGGAAUAGCCCAGAGAAAUUUGGAUUAAUACCCCAUASUAUMUUAGAGUGRCAUCACUUUGAUAUUAAAGAUUUAUCACUUGAAKAWGGCUGUGCSGCUGAUUAUGUAKUUGGCGGUGUAACGGCCCACCRAGCCAGCGAUCAGUAUCUGSUGUGAGAKCACGACCASUCACACGGRCUCUGARACACGGVCCCKACUCCUACGGGAGGCAGCGGUAAGGAAUAUUGGUCAAUGGACGCAAGUCUGAACCASCCMUGCCGCGUGGAGGAUGAAGGUCCUCUGGAUUGUAAACUUCUUUUAUAUGGGACAAAWGWASGGUUUUCUAACUCGUCUGACGRUACCAUAUGAAUAAKCACCGGCUAAYUCCGUGCCACCAGCCGCGGUAAUACRGAAGGUGCACGCGUUAUCCGSAUUCACUGUGUUUAAAGGGUGCGUAGGUGUGUUGGUDARUCACUGAUGAAAUCCCCGAGCUUAACUUGNGAACUGCCAUUGAUACUAUCAGUCUUGAAUACCGUGNAGGUUAGCGCAAUAUGUCAUGUAGCGNUGAGAUGCUUAGAUAUG